rnacentral:tRNA from 1 species
GCCGCCGUAGCUCAGCCCGGGAGAGCGCCCGCGGAGUACCGGGCUAGAAGCCAUCUCCACGCGCACCGCGUACUCCGGCGAAGCUGAAGACCGGGAUGUCCGGGGUUCAAAUCCCCGCGGCGGCA